UUCAAAAAAGAGAAAUAUUUAAAAUUUCAGAGGUAAAAGGGAAACUCAAUGUCAUUUAGUCACCCUGGGUUUCACCUUGGGAAAUCCAAAGUAGGCUUCAAAGGACUACGAACUACCCAAAAUUGUUCACAGAAUUUUAUAUACACGUAUAUUUUUAUGGGAAGAAGGUCCAACCAUAGCUUUUAAAAGAUUCUCAAAAAGAUCUGUGAUUCAAACUUUUUCUGUAAACAUCCAAGUCUGGAUUAGGUUCCUCCCCUAAAGUUAGGCCCCACAGCACUCUAUACAUUCAUCAUCAUACUGCACUGCACUGCACUGCACUGCACUGCACUCA